UCUUCUGCUGCAGUACAAGCUUGGUUCAUGGCUUGCUCUCAUAUUCUGUGCCCAGUCACUUGCUAAUAUGAAGAAUAUAGAGAUUGAUUUAAAGCAGAUUUCCACUGGCUUUAUGUUUGCUAUUAUGGGAAUGGUGACAAAUUACUUGAGCCCGACUUGUGGAGCUGUGAAGACUUGGGAUUUUCGACUCGCUAGUUGUUGGAGGUUUCGUUCGAUUGUAAUUGGAUAGUUUCUAUGUUGCAGUUGACUAGUGUUAUGACUUGUGGUGGCAUUAAAAGAUGGAAACUUGGUAUGCUUUGGACACUUGGAAUAAAUGGGUUUUGAUAAUAGUUGUUUAACAAAAAAAA